rnacentral:rRNA from 1 species
AGAGUUUGAUCAUGGCUCAGAACGAACGCUGGCGGCAGGCCUAAUACAUGCAAGUCGAACGCCCGUAGCAAUACGGGAGUGGCAGACGGGUGAGUAACGCGUGGGAAUCUACCCAGUGGUACGAAACAACCAAGGGAAACUUUGGCUAAUACCGUAUACGCCCUUCGGGGGAAAGAUUUAUCGCCAUUGGAUGAGCCCGCGUCGGAUUAGCUAGUUGGUAGGGUAAUGGCCUACCAAGGCGACGAUCCGUAGCUGGUCUGAGAGGAUGAUCAGCCACACUGGGACUGAGACACGGCCCAGACUCCUACGGGAGGCAGCAGUAGGGAAUAUUGGACAAUGGGCGAAAGCCUGAUCCAGCCAUGCCGCGUGAGUGAUGAAGGCCCUAGGGUUGUAAAGCUCUUUCGGCGGGGAAGAUAAUGACGGUACCCGCAGAAGAAGCCCCGGCUAACUUCGUGCCAGCAGCCGCGGUAAUACGAAGGGGGCUAGCGUUGUUCGGAAUCACUGGGCGUAAAGCGCGCGUAGGCGGAUUGUUAAGUCAGGGGUGAAAUGCCGAGGCUCAACCUCGGAACUGCCUUUGAUACUGGCAAUCUUGAGUCCGGGAGAGGUGAGUGGAACUCCUAGUGUAGAGGUGAAAUUCGUAGAUAUUAGGAAGAACACCAGUGGCGAAGGCGGCUCACUGGCCCGGAACUGACGCUGAUGUGCGAAAGCGUGGGGAGCAAACAGGAUUAGAUACCCCAGUAGUCC